rnacentral:rRNA from 1 species
UACGUAGGGUGCAAGCGUUAAUCGGAAUUACUGGGCGUAAAGCGUGCGCAGGCGGUUCGUUGUGUCGGCGGUGAAAGCCCCGGGCUUAACCUGGGAAUGGCCGUUGAAACUGGCGAACUGGAGUGUGGCAGAGGGGGGUGGAAUUCCGCGUGUAGCAGUGAAAUGCGUAGAGAUGCGGAGGAACACCGAUGGCGAAAGCAGCCCCCUGGGCUAACACUGACGCUCAGGCACGAAAGCGUGGGGAGCAAACAGG